rnacentral:lncRNA from 1 species
AUGGUCGAGUUUCAUUCAUGGGUCCCGGGUCAGCAACCGCCUGUGUGGAAUCUGGUCGCCACACGGCGGUCCGAGAGCUUGGUGUUUGACUGUGCCGUCAUGGGUUGCUGAGAUAGUCAAUCCACUGAAUAAAGAUUGAACGCAUGCAGUGGAUGCUUAUGAAUAAAGAUUCUGCCCAGUUUCAGACCUUAUCAAUUGGGCACCUGAUGGGCGGCAGCAGCCGUCUCUUGUGUAGUAUGUGUAUGUCUAGCGCUAUGUUUUCUCGCAAGUUUCUUUGUAUCAUCGAACCAACCCCCUGUAAGGUGAAAACUAUGAAUAUAUGCAUCUGAUUGAUAAGGUUGAUUUUGCAUCGUCCUUCUGUUGUUGCUAUUCCAUCACCUAGAAGACCUCCUAUGUUAGUAGUAUGAUGGAGGGUAGAAAGCAAAUGCUACUUCAUCAGAAAAUUGAAUUUUAAGGUGGACGCGUUUGCGACCAUGGUUUUUUAUCCACCCGAGAUUUUCGGAAUCCACUGGAAAACCGGCCCUUCCGCCACCCAACGAGAAAACUGGAUCCAAAAAAGCUAGGGUUCCUAUCUCUCGUGGGCGCCGCCGUGGGUUCGCCUCCUCUCCAGUGGCCUUAGGGCCGUGGGGGCGCGGUGGAUCUCGGUAAGGGCCGGUUGGAGGGCUCCGUUUUUAGUCUUUCCUUUUAGUUUUGUUAGGGUUUGUGUCCUGCUCAGGAAGGUGAGGCGGUGGCGGCUCCCUGAACAUGGAAUAAAGGUCUCCCUGCCUAGCCCUCAUUCCGGCGGUGCGUCUAGCAUCGUUGGUGGGCGUGUGAAGAUAUGUCUCCAGUGGAUCUAUCUUUGGUGGAUUUGCUCGGAUCUCGUCGUUGUUCGUCUACGUUCGUGUGUCUUCGGGUUGGAUCCUUCUGGAGAAAAUAUGCCCUAGAGGCAAUAAUAAAAUUGUUAUUUUAUAUUUCCUUAUAUCAUGAUAAAUGUUUAUUAUUAAUGCUAGAAUUGUAUUAACCGGAAACUUGAUACAUUUGCGAAUACAUAGACAAAACAUAGUGUCCCUAGUAUACCUCUACUAGACUAGCUCAUUAAUUAAAGAUGGUUAAGUUUCCUGACUAUAGACAUGUGUUGUCAUUUGAUGAACGAGAUCACAUCAUUAGAAGAAUGAUGUGAUGGACAAGACCCAUCCGUUAGCUUAGCAUAAUGAUAGUUAAGUUUUAUUGCUANNNNNNNNNNNNNNNNNNNNNNNNNNNNNNNNNNNNNNNNNNNNNNNNNNNNNNNNNNNNNNNNNNNNNNNNNNNNNNNNNNNNNNNNNNNNNNNNNNNNNNNNNNNNNNNNNNNNNNNNNNNNNNNNNNNNNNNNNNNNNNNNNNNNNNNNNNNNNNNNNNNNNNNNNNNNNNNNNNNNNNNNNNNNNNNNNNNNNNNNNNNNNNNNNNNNNNNNNNNNNNNNNNNNNNNNNNNNNNNNNNNNNNNNNNNNNNGAAAACCGGAGGAACACCUUAUGUGCUAUCAAACGUCACAAUAUAACUGGGUGAUUAUAAAGAUGCUCUACAGGUGUCUCUGAAGGUGUUUGUUGGGUUGGCAUAGAUCAAGAUUAGAAUUUGUCACUCCGAGUAUCAGAGACGUAUCUCUGGGCCCUCUCGGUAAUGCACAUCAUGAUAAGCCUUGCAAGCAAUGUGACUAAUGAGUGAGUUGCGUGAUGAUGCAUUACAGAACGAGUAAAGAGACUUGCCGGUAACGAGAUUGAAUUAGGUAUGAAGAUACCGACGAUCGAAUCUCGGGCAAGUAACAUACCGAUGACAAAGGGAAUUACGUAUGUUAUCAUUGCGGUUUUUCCGAUAAAGAUCUCUGUAGAAUAUGUAGGAACCAAUAUGAGCAUCCUGGUUCCGCUAUUGGUUAUUGGUCGGAGAUGUGUCUCGGUCAUGUCUACAUAGUUCUCGAACCCGUAGGGUUCGCACGCUUAAUGUUCGAUGACGAUUAUAUUAUGAGUUAUGUGUUUUGGUGGCCGAAGAUUAUUCAGAGUCCCGGAUGAGAUCACAGACAUGACGAGAAGUCUCGAAAUGGUCGAGAGUUAAAGAUUGUUAUAUUGGACGAUAGUAUUCGGACACCGGAAUGGUUCCGGAGUGUUUCAGUUAUUUAUCGGAGUAUCGGGAGGUUAUCAGAACCCCUCAGGGGAAGUAAUGGGCCACAUGGGCCAUUGGGGAGAGGCAAGGCAGCCCACAAGGGGGUGCCCCCCCAUGGGGAGUCCGAAUUGGACAAGGGGAGGGGGCGCGGCCACCCUUUCCUUCUCCCUCUCCCUCUCCUUCCCCCUUUCCCCCUCCGAUAGAAGGAAGGGGGGCCGAAUAGGACUAGGAGUCCAAGUGGGUUUCCCCCCACUUGGCGCGCCCCCUAGGCCGACCUCCUCUCCUCUCCCUCAUUUAUAUACGGGGGCAGGGGGGCACCUCCAAUCAAUCAAUUGUUUCUUAGCCGUGUGCGGUGCCCCCCUCCACCGUUUACUCCUCCGGUCAUAUUGUCGUAUUGCUUAGGCGAAGCCCUGCGCGGAUUAUUUCACCAUCACCGUCAUCACGCCGUCGUGCUGACGAAAUUCUCCCUCGACACUUUGCUGGAUCAAGAGUUCGAGGGACGUCAUCGAGCUGAACGUGUGCUGAACUCAGAGGUGCCAUACGUUAGGUACUUGAUCGGUUGGAUCGCGAAGACGUUCGACUACAUCAACCGCGUUAAACUAACGCUUCCGCUUUCGGUCUACGAGGGUACGUGGACACACUCUCCCCCUCUCGUUGCUAUGCAUCUCCUAGAUAGAUCUUGCGUGACCGUAGGAAAUUUUUUGAAAUUGCAUGCUUCGUUCCCCAACACCUUCCUAUUUACAUUAUUCUUCAGUGGCAGCGGUUGAUGUUCUGGUGCGCUGGUCCUAUGGGGCCUUAGCACGAUGACUUCCUGACCGCCUACUGCAACAAGUUGUGCCCGACUCCGACGAUGGAGGGGCGAUGACGGUGGCGCGCCUUCCGCUCGUUUCAGUGCUUGUAGUCGUUGCAGGUGGUCUACAGAUCUGAAUGUAAUUUUUAUUUUUGGUCUACCAUGAUUGAAGAUGAAUAGAUCAGAAGUUUUCCCGAAAAAAGAAAAAGAAAACAUCUCUCUGACCAGAAUUCUGCGGUGAUAUGUUCUUCUUUUUUUGUCAGAAAAAGAUCCUGUCUGAGGUGAUCCCAACUAUCACCCUCAGUAUCAACAUCACACAUGUAGGUACUUGCGAUGUUGAUGUUGAUACCCAGAGUACAAACCUUCGCAUGGAGGCUUCUUAGGAGGGAAAUUCCCACAGGUGUGAGGGAAGUAGAUUUUCUUCUCAUAUUAUAAAACAGUGUGCUAGAUGUGAUCAAGAAAAAAGAAUGAUAUACACCUAUUCUUCACAUGUCCUUUUAGUAAAGCUGCUUGGUUCUUGGAACCUUGGAAUAUUAGGUCUGAAUUCUUUGUGCAAAAUUUUGGUUCGAUACCUGCUAUUAUACAGGCCUUGUUAACUUCCAAUCACCCUCAUGCCUCUCUCAAUAACAUUAUAACCUUCUUUGUUGUAUUUGGAAGUUCAGGAAUGAUAACCUUUUUGGCAGAAAAUCAAACUCUCCUAUGCAGGUAUACCCAGCUAUGCAAGCAAUAAUAAAAAGCCAAGAAUUAGUAUCUUGUGCAAAUAUGCAGGUUCACCAACAGAAAUAAUACAGAAAAAGAUGGCAGAUUAUGCACACAAGCCAAAGCAAGGAUGUUCAUUAGAAACAGAUGCUUGGAUUACAGGUUGCAAGGUUUAUGCAGAUGCUGCAUGGAAGAAGAACACUACUGGCUCCAAGAACGACUCAAGCAAAGCAGGAAUAGGAAUUGUCAUUUAGACCGGUGAGAAUGAGCAAGGAACAGGUAUCUUAAUCUCUGCAGCUUGCGGAAGUAUUGAAUCUCCAUUACAGGCAGAGGCUACAGCUCUACAAGUUGCCGCACAAAUUGCUUCCCAUAUCACUAACAACAAAGUUACUUUCUUAGUGGACAAUUUGACACUAACUCAGGCAGCGGCGUCAAGGAAUCUUCUUCAAGUCCCUGGGCACUGGGAAAUUAGAAGCCACCUAGCAAACUUUAUUGGUGCAACAAUGGACAUUCAAGCACAUGUUUUUCAUAUUCCUAGGAAACUUAAUGUAAACGCUCACAAUUGUGCAGCUUUUUCCAAUAGAGAAGAUCAUCCCCUGAACAAUAAGUUUGUAUGUUGUAAAGUAGAACAUGCAGGAGGUCAAUGUCCUUGCAAAGCUAGGCAACUUAUGUAUUAAGGUCUGCCAAAUCCUUUAUGUAACCUGUAUCUGAAAUUAAUAGAAGGCGCCUCUGGCGCCACCACUUGUCCCAAAAAAGAAAGUAUCAACAUCACUAUUUUUAUAAUUGGUCAGCAAAUCCUCUAAGGCAUGUUCUCCUGUUUCGAUUAUAUUACUACUGCAUUUAACAGUUGUUGCAUACUAGCUUGUAUCCCAAGAUCAAGUCUAGUUUGUUCUAUAGGUUUAAUAAGGUUUAUAUUGUAGUCAAUCAUAUCUAGAGAGCACCCCUCUCAAAUCUACCCCCACACAUGCAGCCUUAUUAGCAAGACUAUUAUUAUUGGAGGAUGUCACAAUUUUAGGAAUGUGAGACUCACCGUAAUCAUUCUUAGCUGCAACUCUCUCCUUUGCAAUAUCUUCCACUGUGUGGUCCUCUUUAUCCUUCAAUAGGUAGCAUCUCCUGGGCUCUUCCUCCAUAUUUUUCCUAGUGUUUAAUUCCUCUUUCCGAGCUCUACUGAACAGGGCAUGUUCAUUCCAACUGCAGUCAGUUUGAGUGCCCAAACAGUCUACCUUAGCUAAGCUCCGUCCUGUCUCUUCGCGUGGCGGAUCGUUCGCUCUGCUGAUAAUGUCUUCGAUAUUCUCCGUUUCUAUGUCACAGUGCUCGGCUCCCUCUGGGAAUGCUAUCGGCCGGACGGCUGUGAUUCCGCCACGUACGAAGCCAACCAGGCAGCUGGAUAUAAAUCAUAAAAUCAAUCAAGCAGGCUGGUUGCGCAUCAGGCGAGGGUAAAACAGACGCACCCGAUCGAACACGAGACACUAGAUUUGAUGGCAACAGGUACAUAUCCUAUUCCUAGUCGGUGACUAGCUAGUUUAUGUCCAAGCUGGUUGCUUCCAACAUGUACACAUGUGCAGGGCUUGUUCAUCUUUUUCGUACUACUAAGGAACACGAGACACUGGCAGCUAAACAAGACCCACCCCACCCGACAUGUGCCAGGCGCUUGAAGGUGUUGCUGAGCUGGGCCGGCCGGCCUCAGUCGUCGAUGGACAGGCACUGCAUCGACUACCGACACAGUGGCAACACAUGCACGAUCAUCAUUCAUCGACCCACCCCACCCGACCGAUGAUUAACCUAACCAUGCAUUAAUCUCUCGAUCGUUGACACAUUGUACGCAACAGUUGAUUAAGUAAGCACGUACACCCGUCCAUGUCUAGCUGCUCGCUCUGCUUCUCCAUAAAGGCCACUGCCAAGCAUGCGAGUCUGCUCCUCCUCUCUCUAUCUAGGUCGAUUGCACGAUCGAGACCAGCAACCUAAUGGGGUUCCCGGCGGCGGUGCCCAGGCUGCUGCCCAACCUCCUCUUCCUCCUUGCCCACCUCCACCGCCUCUCCUCCUGGCUGCGACCACCCAAACAACUCGGACUUCGCCGACCACCACCACCACCAGGGGCAGUACCACGACGUCCACGGCCUCAAGGAGCUGGAGGAGAACUGCCCGGCCGUGCGCUUCGACGAGCUCUCCAUAUCCAACGCCGGCACCAGCGCCGGGACGCCCAUCCUCCCAGAGGGAUGCGUGGUGUGCCUCAGUGACUUCCACGGUGCGGCGCGUGUGCGCCGGCCGCGGGGGUGCCAGCACGUCUUCCACUUUGGCUGCCUCGACCGCUGGGUCGCUCACGGCCACCGCACCUGCCCGCUCUGCCGGGCUCCGUUCCUCCUGAUCGUGCCGCCCCCGGCCGGCGUCAUGAUUCCCACGGGGACUUGUUUGCAUAAUUUGGCGACUGUCCUCCUGGAUGACAAGCUCUGAAUUCUCGCUUCCUGUUAGACUUUUAUGAAUCAAACCCAACCCACAACAUGGGCUAUGGAGGCCAUGGCAGAGAAGUGUUGAAAUAUUUUCCGGGGGGCCUUCUUUGGAGAGACUAGCAAAUCACUACUAGGAAAAACCUUAUAUACAGAACAUUAGCAGUAGCACGGGCUAAAAACGCACGCGGGUGCUACUGCUAAUUAGCAGCAGCGCGGUGUUGUAAAUGGCGCUACAGAUACAGUUAUAGCAGUAGCGCGCCCGAGUACAAAAGUGAUACUACUAAAAUUCCCACGGCUUAGCCGAUAGGCUGCACAUAGUAGUAACAUUCUUCGCCGAACCGCGCUACCGCUAUUUGCUUUGUAGCAGCGUGUUUGCACUGAGAGGCGCUACUGCUAAAGUAAAUAAAAUUAAAUGGAAAGCAAAUAGAAAAGUAAAUGAAAAUGAAAGAAAUACAAAAAGGUGAAAGGAAAAAAAAUAAAAUGUAAAGAAAAAUAAAUAAAAAAGUGGAAAAAAGAGAAUGGUACAGCAGUAGCGCGUAUCCAGGAACGCGUUGUAGCUAUGUUAGCAGUAGCGCACUUCCUGGAACGCGCUACUGCUACUUCUGACUAAACCGCUCGAUUCGUUCUUCCCAACGGCCACUUCCCCCAAAUCGCAACUCCUCCGCUGUCGCCGCCGUACGCUCUCCCGUCGCUCUCCCGCCUCAACACCGCCCCCGAACCCAGAUUCGACGCCGCCCCCGACCCCGACCUCGACACCGCCCCCGACCCCGACCUCAACGCCGCGCUCCGCCGCGCGCCCGAGCCCCGACCCCGACCUCGACGCCGCCUGCCCCUCCCUUGCCGCAGUCACCGUAAGGCUCUGCCUCUCCUCUCCCCUACCCUCCUCUCUCUCUCUGCUAGGGCAAUUUAUAUAUGUGUUGAUGUUCAUAUGAACCCUAGGUGUUCAUAUGAACCCUAGGUGUUCAUAUGAACCCUAGAUUUGUUUAGGGUAGUAGGCAUUUUUUAGCAUUUAGAAAAAAUGAUUAGCAAUUUUUUUAGAAAAUUAGCUAGGGCAAUUUUUUAUGAAAAUGCCUAAACAGUAAUUUCAUUUGCAUAUUAUUGUUAUAUGAUAUAUGUCAUUGAUGUUCGUUUGCAUAUUCCAUUAUUGAAGUGGUUCGAUUGUGCCCAAGUGGCUUUGUUGUUUCCAGGAAAUGAAGCCGAGUGGCCUAUGUUUUGCCGGAAUGUUGAUUCAUUUCCGUUCUGGCAAAUUUCAGGUUCUCGAUUUGUCCACCUUUUAGCAAAAGUCAUGCCGAAAAUUUUCGUGAAUUUCGGCAUGACCUGUGCUACAAACUAGGACAUAUCGAGUGCCCGGGAUUUGCUGCACCGGGAAGGAGUCAACGUUCCUGCAAAGCAUAGGCCUUUUUUAUGUCAUUAUUCAUUUUAUUAGGUAUAGAAUUAAUUGACUAUAUUUAAUCGUAAGAACUAGUUGAAUUAUUAGAACUAGUUGAACAUGUCACAUUUGUUGUUAUUUUUUAGUUAAAGCAAUUUUUCGCGCAUCGACGUCGACGAUGCCUAUCCCGCAUCCUCGUCGUCGAGUCGGCGGAGGACACCUGCGUCACCAGAUGGGCCAUGUCCGGGACUGGGCUCCGCCGGGGUGGUACUGGAAGGCGCUUCCUACGGGAGGGGGGGCGCAGGUUGGUGAGGAGCCAGCCUGUCGUUGACCCGAACCUUCUUUGGUGGCGGUCGCGUGGGCCAGUGACGGUCCAGAGGCUCGAGGACCCCGCGGAGGUGGUGCGUCACCGUGUCAGUGAGGAGGACGCGCACGUCCGUCGCUACUUGUUUGCGUUGGAGCACAGGUUCUCCAAUACCUGGCAGGUUCUCCAGGGAUCUCACUGGAGCUAUGAUCCUGUGAUGGUUCCUUCUCUUUGGGUGUCCACCGCCCGCGCCGAUACCCGUCGUGCGCUAGGGUUUUAGUUGUAUUAGUGAUGUUAUAUGUAUGAUACUAUUCGGGAUGUAUUAGUGAUAAUAUUCGACGAUGUACGGACGCAUGAGAUGAUUUACUUUUGCUUAUUGAAUGCAUGCUAAUUUGAAUACUUAUUUAUUUUAUGAUUUGGUUUUGCUUAUUGAAUGCUCAUGUCAAUAUGAGUCCUAUAAGAUAUUUUGAGUAUCCUGGAGUUGUCUUCGAUCGAUUUUCAAUUAAUGUUUCAACUAUGAACAUAGGAAAUGUCUGACAACGAAAAGGAUUUCGGUAUUUGCAAAUACUGCGAAGACGAGCGCGGCCUGUGCGACGGAAUCUUCCUAGAUGAUGAUAGGCGCUUCAGCAUCAAGCUGGACGUGAACUUCGAAGUGGAUACAGUAAGUCACAACGACAAGUCUUUUUUCGUAAUUAAGCAUGACAUCUGCUUCAUUUGCUUCAACUUAUAAUUUAUUUUUUUACUAUUCUACUAGAGUAUCCCCGGCCAUGCAAGAGUUUUUGUCUUGGAUAAGAUAGGUUUCAGUCGUACUAUAGAGGUAAAGAAAGUUUACUUGAAGACCGAGCAUGGUUAUAUUUUCCACGCAAAAUUAUACAACGCAGACGACUACACCUAUUUUGGAUGCAAAACUUGGCGAGCACUGUGCAAGACUUAUGCAUUUGAGCCUGAUAUGGUUAUCACCUUUAAUAUUCGUCCGGAAGAUGAUAUUGAAGGUAAUACCGACAUCUGGGUCGAUGUGCAGACGCCUCCAGUUAUACCAUUAUGAGAGUUUCUCAACCAUAUUUAUGUCUUUGAUAUUGUUUAUUCAAAAAUAGUUGACAACUAAUUUCUAUUGUCAGCUUAUUUCGGUUCAAGCAAACAUGUCCAGGGCUUGGUAGACAGGACCUACUACUGUCCCGGGGCUGAACUAAACUGCGAGGAGCUAAGUCAUUAUGUUUCAUGGCUUGAGGAUCUUGAUACUGUCAAGACAAAUUUUCUUCCUGCACUUAGAAAUGUUAGUACUGAAAACGUGCGAUCAAUAGUGUUCGUAAUGAACUACGGUCACAUCUAUUUAGGAAAGAUGGUAAGAUUUUUACUAUUUAUCCUCAGUGCAUCUUUUGCAUACAUUAUUUUUUAAGCUAAACUUCAUUGCUAAGUAUGUUACUAUACGAUGUUCUUCAACAGGGACUCCCGAUGAAUGUUGUGCCUCAUGGGAUCGAGACUAAUGUUACCAUAAGUAUUGUUAGCUUACGGCCAAGAUAUCCUACAAUGCACUUUAGUGCAUUCAGGAUUUCUAAGAGCGAGGAAGUCUUAAUAGUGAAAGACUGGACCAAAUUUGUGAUGGAGGACCGCAGAGAAGUACUAGGGGGCAGCAAUGAGGAGCGCAGCCCACGAUUAGGAGACAGAUUCAUCUGCAUGCUCCAACUUGAUGAAGGAGGAGAGCUACACAUGUUUUAUGUUAUUUUACCUGAGAGAGAGCAGCAGGAGUGAUUAGCUAGCUAGAAAUGAGUUUGAAGAUGAUGAUGUGCUACACUAUGACUAUGAUGAUUAAAUAGCUAGUGUUGGUGGUAAUGACUAUGAUGAUUAUUAUUAGCUAGUGUUGGUGGUGAUUAGAUAGCUACCGCAUCUAGUGUUGGUGGUGAUUAGCUAGCUAGAAUGAGUUUGAAGAUGAUGAUGUGCUACACUAUGACUAUGGUAAUUAAAUAAAUACUGUUGGUGGUAAUGACUAUGAUGAUGAUUAAAUAGCUUGUGCUGGCGGAUUAGAUUCAAGUGGAGGCAACAUGUGGUGCACAUCGAAAGUACUACUAGUCCAAACUAGAUCAAGUUUGGAUUAGUAGUACUUUUGACAUGCACCACAUGUUCCCUCCACUUGAACCUAAUCCACCUUCAUUUGACACACUGUUAUGGACAUAUUGAUAUAACAACCUCAUAAUUGGUAUUGUACCAAAAUUUGUAUAACAGCGUAUAAAUACACUAAAAAUUAAAAAAAUAGAAAAAGAAUAAUAGUAGCGAUGGAGAGUAAACACUCUACUACUAGCUAUAUUAGCAGUAGCGCUGGAGUGAACAAACACUGCUGCUAUAUGUCUUAGCAGCACCGCGUGUAGCACGCGCUACUGCUAAGGAAUAGCUGUAGCGCCUUAUCAGUAGCGCAUCCACCCGCGCUACUGAUAGGCAAAAUACCCGCGCUACUGCUAGGGUUUUCCCUAUAGUGAAUGUGUCCCUGCGUUGCAAGGUGAGAAAUUUCCAUACACCCGACCGUCUGACACCGGUAAUGUAGUUAAUUAUAUAUACCUAGAAAAGUCAUACUGGACAAUUAUAGACAUGCAUAUUAGAAUAACUACAUAGGUGAUUAACAAAAGUAACUCGAUGUAGUAAAAAUGCUUAAUCUGUUACCAUCUAUUAGCAUAAUGACCGUGCUUCACACAGAGAAAAUACUGGUUGCCUUGAUAGGUCAACCUUGUGAGGGGUAAGGGAUGAUGGAACACAGGGAGAAUUUCCUCCUUUUAUUGUUAUUGAAAAAAUGAUGAACAAAUUGAUGGCAUGAGCAUGAUCAAACAACUUUUAACCUGAUGCAAGGCACAUUUCCACUUAUGUAUAUGUGAAACAACACUCAAUAUCACAAAUUAGUAAGCAUGCCAAACGGUCAAGAGCUAAUACUACUGGAGUAAACCAUAUUGUAAACAACUAUUCCCUAAUUUUGUUUUUGUCAAUUAUCAUCUAGAUGACUAUUCUAUUCCACCGACUACACUGGUAUAUAACACUAAAGCCAUAACUUAGUUCUUAUAGCCGGUAAAAUAACCAAGAACGGUACCCAUAAUAAAAAAUAAGAACGAUCAUCACAUUGCAGUGUAAGUGCACAGUACCAUUUAUCUUAAAAAAACACCAUUCACUGACCCCCAACCACCGUUGCCCCGUAGGCAAGAAAGUCAAGCUUCAGACAAACCGAGCCUUCCCAUUCAGCUGUGCAAUUAGAUUAAGGAAACAGGUACCAAGUUUGAUAAAAAAUUACAACACUAACAUUGCAUUUGUAGUCUUUGAUCUGGUGUACAUUAUUGAUAGUUCCAGUGAAGUGAAAGACAAAGGCAAACUCACACCAGAUUUAGUAAUCCAGUGCAUCUAGGAACAUGCAGUGUCUCUUCUAAAUAACGAUAGAUCACUGAAAAAGAAACAUUAAGGAUCAAUAAAUAUGUUGGUCACAUGGUCUUCAGGGCAGAUCGUGCAGGGUGCAGGGCGAGAGGACACGGAGUGGCGUCUUUUAAAGAACAAAUGCCAAGUGUACGUGAGCUAAAUAUACUUAUACUGAUCUAGGGGAUACGAUGAAACUAUGCUUCCUAGCACAGAAAGAAGCACAUGAUCGGCAAUUGCAAAAGCAAAUCUGCACAUAAAAGAAAAGUAUAGACUGUAAACCUUUUUUUUUUUGAACAGGUAGUCUGGAUACUAAGGGAAACUACAAGAAAACAAUUCAGAAAAUGUAGAAACUUUACUGUACAGAAUCUGCAGGGUAUAUAACAGAACAUAUAUACUUAGGCGCAGGUUCUUCAUAAUAACUUCAAUUGGUUGCACUUAACCCAGAUGAAAUACAAUGUAGUAGCCGCAUUUGUUCAGAACAAAGAAUGUAGCAUUCAUAGCUUAGCUGCCCUUUGCUUCAGUUAAAUAAUAGGUGCUAGCUUGCUUGAUGGCUGUGCCCAAAAUUCAGAUUGAACAACUCUGAACCUGACUCUGGCUAAAACAACAAAAUCGUUGGCUUAUGUGUUCUGCAUUAUGGACACUGUGACAUGAGUAGCAACUUGAGUAAAGAUAACCUGAAAGAAUAACAUCGCAGAGGCCUCUCACCAAGGGCCUUGGAUGCAUCAUGGACCUCCAGCUCAUUCUCUCGUCCGUGCAAAAUUUUCAAAUUAGAGCAACAUCCAAAGCUUUGAUGGUCUGAAUCUGAAGGAAGUGUUACUGAUUUGGUCUGAAGGAAGAAGAGCAGUGGGGAUUAAAAGUUGGGAACACAUGCAUCUUGACACAACUUGAUCCACGCUUUGAAAUCAUUCAUUUAUCUAUUUAAUUAGCGCAUACAAUGAAAUCCCAAAUCCCCCUCCUCUAUUCCACCGAGCCGCGGGCCUCCUUUUUUUCUCCUCCAGCUAUUGGACUCCUUCUGAUAUCUAGCGAGACACAACCUACGAGACGAAGCGCUGGCUCCUCUAUCACACCUCUCCUCCGAACAACACUGGCAUGCCAUAGCUCCUCCACACCACACCGGUCCUCUCCUCCACAUCACACCCCCCGCUACGGAAAAUGGCCAAUCCUCCAGAGUCCAGAACCAACGCUAGAGGGCAGCGACCCCCUCCUUGCUCCUCCCCACCCGAGACACGGCGUUUAUAUCUAUCGGCCUCUUCAUGCAUGAAGUCGCCUGAGACGACGCGUCCGCCAUGCUCUUCGUCCAGACGCCGCAUGCCGCCUCCACGGUAACCUAACGUGCCACCGACGCCGGUGGUCGACAGCCCCCUGUCGCCGACCCCGACGACUGAUCGAUAACCUGUCUAGGAUGAACCGCCUCGAGUUCGGUCCUCCUCCACCCACUACUGGAAUCGACCUAUACACCGGGUGCCACGGACACUCGGCAAAGAAUCAAAUACCGCCGGCAAAGCCUUUGCCGAGAGUUGCACUCGCAAAGGCCACCCGGCGUAGAGGUCUUCGGCAAACAGAAAUUUACCGAGAGCCAAUCACCGAACACUCGGCAAAAAGUUUACCGAGUGUCGAAUAGUGCCACUCGGUAAAAUAAAGUGUCUGACGGUCACCGGAAAAGGCAGCUGCCACGUCUUCAUGGGAUUUACCGAGUGUGCACAAGAGGUACUCGGCAAAGCCUUGCGAGCAAAUAAAAAAAAAAAGGCGCCGACGAGGGCACCGGUUGUAGCCGUCGCCGUCGCCGUCGCACAGCUGGGACCUCGAGCCGCUGCGAGACAGGAAAAGGCCGACGAGGCAGGGGCCGCGUACGUGUCACACCAUCGUGUCGCACCUCACGCGCCAGGCGAGACGGGAGGAGGCCGGCAAGGCAGGGGCCGCGUACGCCACGCGGUGCCGCUCCUCUGCUGAGGAGGAUGCCCUACUGCCGCCCUCGAUGGGCUCCAUGGCCGCCGUCGGGCAUGGCCCGUUCAGGACUUCAGGUUCGCCAGGCACCCCAUGGCCACCGCGAGCGAGCAGGGCGGAGCGGCGUCACCGGCGGCGGAGCUCAGGGUCGCUGUCCAGCCAGCCAUCUUCCCGGUUCUUGAGCUCGUAGCCCUUCCCCUCAUCUGCGCCGGCGUGAAGAAGAGACCAGGAGAGAGAUGUGUGUGCGUGAAGAGUGAAGAGACAGGAGAGGUGUGCGUCCGUGAAGAGAUAAAGAGAGAUAGCAUGUUGUGUGAAGGGAAGCCACAUCAUCGAUCCAAACCAUCCACUCCUCGGCCAAUCAGGGACGGGGAUUUUGUGUUUCUUUGGCUCAUGGUUUUACCGAGAGUUGUCUAAAAGGCACUCGACAAAAAGUUGAUUAAAUAUAACAAUUGAACCUUUAAUUAUAUCAAAAAAUUGACAUGUGUCAUGCAAUGGUGUAUAAAGAAUACAUCAUGCUAAUUUUCAGUUUUUUUGACUUUGUUUUUUUUUUAUUUUGCUCCCAAGGCUCCUCCUCUGAGAUCGUGGUAACUAGAUCUAGGGCUUUUCAUUUUUACCGAGAGCAACACUCGGAAAAGCCAUCACGCCACCACGCCAUGUCAUCGAUCCGUGUGUUGUUCUGAGAUUGGUUGAGAGUGUGCUUUCUCUCGACCAAUCAGAAAAAAACUAGAAAGUUCAUAAAACUUGGGAAUGGUCCAUCAAAUAUGGUAUAUUUUCUGUGAAAAUUGAAGUGGUGCCAUUUUACACUUUGUUUUUUGUGCUUGCUUUAUAAAAAGUACCCAAUUUUUAUACUUAGAAAAUGGAAAAUGACUUAUUUUACAAAAAAGUUAGAAACUCUAUUUUGCAACAUUGUUUGUAAUGACAAGAUGCAUUUGGGCACCAAGUUUGGGCACAUUAUAUUAAACUAUGCAAUGAAUAUGGCCAUCACUUAGUCAUUUGACUUGAAAUCCAUGGAUGUUCAUAGACAUAGCCCGUUUUGUGAAGGAUUUUUUUCCAAAUUAGUCAUAUGAAAAGUUUGGUAUUUUUCCUCACAACUAGUACACUUAAAAGGACUCCAUGCGAAAGGAUUAUAUUUUUUGAAGUUGUAUUCAUUUUCUUUCAUUUUUUUCAAAAUGGGGUCAAAAUGAAUGGCAUGGCUAUUCAUCACAAGGGAUGGAAUCUCUCAAAACUCUAAGUGGUUCUCCCAUAUAAUGACUAUUUGUGUAUCUAAAAAUAUUUUUUGCUAAUUUUUAUGACAGAGCUAUCACACACUUGCAGUUCAAAUUUGAAUCACUUUCGUGAAAUUGAUGUAAAGUCAUUUAAAUGUGCGGAAGUAGCUAGAAAACUAGAAAAUCCAUGAAACUUGAGAAUUGUGCCUAAAAUAUGGUCUACUUACCGUGAUAAUUGGAGUGGUGCCAUUUUGCACCCCCAUUUUUGUACUUGUUUCACAAAAAACACCCAUUUUUGACACUUAGAAAAUGAAAAUUAAUUUUUUAUACAAAAAAGUAGGAAACUCUAUUUGGAAACAUUUUUUGUAAUGUCAAUAUGAGCCUAUGUGUCUAAUUUGGGAACAUUAUAAUAAUCUAUGCAAUGAAUAUGACCAUCACCUUGGUCCUUUAAGUUGAAAGCCAUUAAUGUUCAUACAUGAUAGUCCGUUUUGUGAAGGAAUUUUUUUCAAAUAUGUUAUAUUGAAAGUUUGGUAUUUUUCCUCGCAAGUAAUACACAUAAAAGCACUCCACGUGAAAGGAUAGCAUUUUUUGAAUUUGUAUUCUUUUUCUUUCAUUUUCCCAAAACAGGGAUAAAAUGGUAGAAUCUCUCAAAAAUCAAGUGGUUCUCCCAUAUAGUGACUAUUUGUGUACCUAAAAACAUUUUUUGCUAAUUUUUAUGACUAAGCUAUCACAUACUUGCAGUUCAAAUUUGAAUUACUUUCGGGAAAUUGACAUAAAGUCAUUUAAAUGUGCGAAAGUAGCUAGAAAACUAAAAAAUCCAUGAAACUUGGGAAUUGUGCAUAAAAUAUGGUCUACUCACUGUGGUAAUUGGAGUGAUGCCAUUUUGCACCCCGAUUUUUGUACUUGCUUCACAAAAAACACCCAUUUUUGACACUUAGAAAAUGGAAAUUGAUUUUUUAUUAAAAAAAAGAAGGAAACUCUAUUUGGCAACCUUGUUUGUAAUGUCAAGAUGCGCCUAUAUGUCUAAUUUGGGAACAUUAUCAUAAACUAUCCAAUUAAUAUGGCCAUAACCGUGGUCAUUUGAGACUAUAUAAAUACUUGGCAAGCCAAAAAGUUUAAUUAAUAUGGCCUGAAAUGAAAAAAGUUUUCAACACGGAAAUUGUCCGUCUCGUCAAAAUAAACAAAUUUGAUUUUUGGACCAUCUUCAUCCGAGGUCGUAUGCAACCUCUACAACCAAAACCGUGCAGUUUAGCAAAGACACCCUUUUGCCGAGUGUGACACUCGGUAAAGACCCCCUUUUGCCGAGUGUAGCACUCGGCAAAGCCCUGUUUGCCGAGUUUUGUUAUUUUACCGAGUGUUUUGUCAACGACAGUCGGCAAGGUGCCUAUUUGCCGAGUUUUGCGUUUUUGCCGAGUUAAGCACUCGGCAAAGAUACUAUUGCCUAGUGUCCGACAUAAUGCACUUGGCAAAGAGCCUAACACUCGGCAAAGAGGAAAAUUCCAGUAAUGACCACGAGCACAACACAUGGACACGCCAUCUUCAGUGACUGUGGUCAUCCCGUUUCGGGUGAGACCAAAUCGACGGGAUCAACUGAGGAAGGACAUGGUGGUGGGGUGCGUGUGCCGCACAUGUUCGUUGACUCGUCGUUCAUGGCUGCUUGACUCCCACGUCCGUCCGUCCACCCUCUCCUCCCCGGGCUCCUUAUCCUCUUCACCGUCUUUGCUGGUCACGGCCUCCAGCAACUCCAUCUCUUGCUUCUUCCGCUGAUGCUCCAGCCCUGUGUGUGGCACGUACACAACCAUGGCCCGCAGCGUAGAUAUAGGUCAGAGAGGUUUGAAAGGAAUCUUACUCGGUGGAGAAAUCCGAGGCGUAACAAAUUCCACCUACCCUGGAACGGUCCAUGGGUGAUGUACCAAAAUAGAAGCGGAGGCCCAGCUAUGCGACAUAUUAGACACGUUUUGGCCUGUUGUUGCCGUUCUCUGUCUCACACCGGACGGAGAUGGAAGAAGGAGCACACUUUUUCCCCGGCGACCAACGCCCCGGCGCCCAAACGUCUCCUUUAUAUUCAGCACACAGGCAGCACACACACGAGCCAGCCACACAACUCGGCGCCACUGCGUACACGCAUGCCCACUAAUCCAUCAGCUAUUCCCACAACGGCCACAUGAUCGGGCUGUCCACCCAGCUAGCUAACUAACUAACAACAUGCACAUCCAUACGUCUGCACUGCACGGCUGCCCAACUACUGCAUGCCUGACGCUGCUGCUCAUUGCCAGCUUCUCGCGGACGACUCGGCCAUCACCAACCGGCCCGAUGGCACACACGCGUCCACGUCUGCCACGGACUCGAUCUAGAAGCGCUCACACCGGUCGCCACCGCCUGCGAGCAUGGCUUAUUGCCAACAUGGCCUUAUGCAGAUCUAUUAAAUUUCAGCCGCUAAUCUUUCAAGUUUAUACAAAAUCAAUGGUUAUAAAGCGAUGAUGUAUGGAGAACUAUGAAAGCCUCCAUCCUUUAUUAUUAGGUAAAGAUUAUCACUAUGCCGUCUCCAGGGAUGGGCCUUAGUUCCUUGUUCAAGCUUUAGUUAAUUUGGAUUUCACUAUAAUGGAUUUGGUCCCCACAGUAAAAUAGGUUAGAUUAUAGGAAGUAGGUACAGGGGUGAAUCUGUAUAUAUGCAUUGACAAAGGUUUUUGCUCUGCUCACCGUUAGUUGAUAUGUCUCCAACGUAUUUAUAAUUUUUGAUUGUUCCAUGCUAUUAUAUUAUCUGUUUUGGAUGUUUAAUGGGCUUUAAUAUGCUCUUUUAUAGUAUUUUUGGGACUAACCUAUUAACCAAAGGGCCAGUGUCAGUUUCUUUUUUGUUGUUGCCUAUUUCAGUGUUUUGCAGAAAAGGAAUACCAAGCGGAAUCCAAACGGAAUGAAACCUUCGCGAUGAUCUUUCUUGGAACGAAAGCAAUCCAGAAGACUUGGAGUUGAAGUCUGGAAUUCCGCGAGGCGGCCACGAGGCAGGGCGCGCCCAGGGGGGUAGGCGCGGCCCCCACCCUCAUGGCCCCACGGAGCUCCACCGACGUACUUAUUUCGCCUAUAUAUACCCUUAAACCCUAAAAACAUCAGAGGGAGCCACGAAACCACUUUUCCACCACCGCAACCUUCUGUACCCGUGAGAUCCCAUCUUGGGACCUUUUCCGGUGCUCUGCUGGAGGGGGAAUCGAUCACGCAGGGCUUCUACAUCAACACCAUAGCUUCUCCGAUGAUGUGUGAGUAGUUUACCGCAGACCUUCGGGUCCAUAGUUAUUAGCUAGAUGGCUUCUUCUCUCUGUUUGGUUCUCAAUACAAAGUUCUCCUCGAUGUUCUUGGAGAUCUAUUCGAUAUAAUACUCUUUUGUGGUGUGUUUGCCGAGAUCCGAUGAAUUGUGGAUUUAUGAUCAAGUUUAUCUAUGAAUAAUAUUUGGUUCCUCUCUGAAUUCUUAUAUGCAUGAUUUGAUAUCUUUGCAAGUCUCUUUGAAUUAUCGGUUUAGUUUGGCCUACUAGAUUGAUCUUUCUUGCAAUGAGAGAAGUGCUUAGCUUUGGGUUCAAUCUUGCGGUGUCCUUUCCCAGUGACAGUAGGGGCAGCAAGGCACGUAUUGUAUUGUUGCCAUCGAGGAUAAAAGAUGGGGUUUAUAUCAUAUUGCUUGAGUUUAUCCCUCUACAUCAUAUCAUCUUGCUUAAUGCGUUACUCUGUUCUUAUGAACUUAAUACUCUAGAUGCAUGCUGGAUAGCGGUCGAUGUGUGGAGUAAUAGUAGUAGAUGUAGAAUCGUUUCGGUUUACUUGACAGGGACGUGAUGCCUAUAUUCAUGAUCAUUGCCUAGAUAUUCUCAUAAUUAUGUGCUUUUCUAUCAAUUGCUCGGCAGUAAUUUGUUCACCCACCAUAAUAUAUGUUAUCUUGAGAGAAACCACUAGUGAAACCUAUGGCCCCUGGGUCUCUUUCUUAUUAUAUUGCAUCUCUUUUAUUUACAUCACGUCUCAUUUACUAUUUUGCAAUCUUUAUUUUCCAAUCUAUACAACAAAAAUACCAAAAAUAUUUAUCUUACUAUCUUUAUUAGAUCUCACUUUUGCGAGUGACCGUGAAGGGAUUGACAACCCCUAUAUCGCAUUGGUUGCAAGGUUCUUGAUUGUUUGUGCAGGUACGAGGUGACUUGUGUGUUAUCUCCUACUGGAUUGAUACCUUGGUUUUCGAAAACCGAGGGAAAUACUUACGCUACUUUGCUGCAUCACCCUUUCCUCCUGAAGGGAAAACCAACGCAUGCUCAAGAGGUAGCAUUAGUUUCCUUUAGUUCUUCCCUAGACUUUAGCAGUACCAUUUAUUUCAUCUUUUAUACUACCACCAGCAACUUGGGGCUAACUCUUCUUUAGAGUUUGAACAUAUUUUGUGUAUUUACAUGCUCUCUUGAAACUGCAUUUGGAUUCGACUGGAUUGCCUUAUUUAAUCCCAUAUGUCAACUAUAAAGUCUAAACUCCGAUGUUAUAGCGGCUGUAUACCUACCACGACAUGCCAAUUUUUCUUCUUGUAUAUAGAAAAACCUGUCCACUAAUAUCUUCUUCACUGACAGAUGCAUAAAGUAGAAUGUAAGCAGAUGUCAAUGAAACAUUACCAAACAUCCUCCCUGUUCAAGAAUAGAAGCGAAGAUGACCGAACUAAUAAAUAGGCUAAUAUUGAAAUUGGUGACGAAAUAAUCACAACAUAUUUCUUAUACUCAUGCAUUGUGUAGGAUCCUCUAUCAAGAUAUUUAUAGAUAACACAUGUACAAAUGCACUAUAAUAUAUAUAGAAACGUCAGGCACACUGCGUGUGCAGGCCAUCCAAACUAAAUCCAACAUAUGUCCUGCUUCUCUUAUCUCAAAACAAAUGGAAUAAAAUACUCCACUGACGAAUGCAUGUGAUUUUUUUGUUUGGUUUCUUUAGAUUUGGAUCGAUAUAAUUUCUUCCAACAAAACAACAUGGAAUACUUUUUGAAAAUUAUAAUAUAAUUUUCAGGAUGGAAGUUUGUGUUGUUUCCUAGAAAUGUCUUAAUUUUUUAAGUAUUGUCAUGUGAACAUGUGUUAAAUAUUAUCAAAUAUAAUUAAAAUACAAAUUAAAUUUUGUGAUAAUGAGAUGUAUGAAAUAAAAAUGUUUAGUACAAGAGUCCCGCUUCGAUACAACCCGCCUCACUAAGUGUAUAAAGGGGAAUAUAUACUAUUAAAAAUUUAUAUAUAUUUUCAUAUAUAUAAGUCGAACCUUAAUCUCGCGAUGCAUGCUACCGAUGCUAGCCAACGAAGUUAGCAACAGAUCACGAUUUAAACAUAGCGCUGACCUUAAAGUAUUAAUUAAAUUGUAAUCUCUUUUUUUCAAUAUUUUUUGAAAAACAAAUUUCUUAAAAAUGUGAAUAAUGUUAAGAAAUCUUAAAAAAAUAUAAUAUUUUUUUAUCAUGAGCAUUUUCUUUUAAUAGUGAACAAAUCGAAAUCUGAACAAGUUUUAUAAAAAUGAAUGUAAAGUACGGUGAACUUAUACCUUUUUUUUAGUCUACGGUGAACUUUAUUCAAAUACACACUAAAUACCUUUUUCAAAUAUACAGUGAAACUUUUGCUAAUGGGCACUGACUAAAAUAAACAUUACUUAUACAUUGAACAUUUUUUCAAUGUAUGAUUAAUAGUUUUUUUAAUUAGAUGAUUAAAAAAACAUGAACACAUUUUGGAAAAUGAACAAACUUGGAAUUUCAACUUUUAUUGGUAUUUAGGAUUCCAAACUUUUUUUGAACGUCAAUAAAUCUACAAAAUGUGAACUAUGUUUGAAAAUGUGAAAAAAAUUUGGUAUUUCAAAGAUUUUUUAAAAAUCAAACAAAUAUUGAAAAUUCUGAACAAUUUGUGCAAGUUUUUAAUUUAUGGAAAACCAAAAGGAAAUAGCAAAAAGAAAUAGAAUAAGGUAAAAAAGAAAAUAAAACAAAGAAAUAAGCAGGAUAACAGAAAAUAAAAACAUGAAGAAAACUAAACAAAACCUAUGAAGAAAAACAAAACAGCAAAAAACACUUAGGGAACCUUCUAAAAGGUUCCCAAAACCGGUUGCUCGCUCGAGGUGGGCUGGCCCAUGUUGGUUGGUCGCUUCGCUUCAACGACGCCACGAUGGUUUAACGCUCACGGGCUGCAAAUAGGGUUCAUCGUUCGGGGAAUAGAGUCAUAUAGACAGCACCACACACAGGAGACCGACCGACUGGUCCGGCCCAUUGUUGCACGAGCAAAUAGGGAAAAUUUCAUCAUAAAAGAAAUGGCAGAGCGAGGGACCAAACUCUCUAACUCCUGUUGUUGACCCCUCAUUCUCGUUGCUAGCUUUAGUGUUUAACUACAAAAACGCACACUACUAGAACUAUCCCUUAGCGACCGGUACUUUAGUAGUGUCUAACUACAAAAACACACACUACUAGAAGUCUAGAACUAUCCCUUAGCGACCGGUACUGUAGUGAACCAGUCUUCUUCCCACUAUUUAUUUAUCUUUUUUUCCUAUUCUUUUUUUGUUUUACUUUUUGUUUUCUUUCUCUUUUUUCAAAAAAUGCCCGCGCUUCUACUAAUUUGAUAUAAUUUUAAAAAAGGUCGCCUCUUCAAAUUUCAUAAAAUACAAAUAUUCAUAUGUUACAAAAUUGUACAGAAUUUAAAAAAAUUAUUCGUGCCUUCCAAAAUUGCCGAUAGUGUCAAAACAUGGGCAUUUUUUAAAAGAAGCAAACAAAAAAGGCCAAUAAAUGGCCAGACAUGUUGCAACUUGCAUAGCAUGUCGGAAAUUGUUUAAAGCAAGCAUGGAUGCCUACUAUGGGCAUACCCACAUGCUUGCAAAAGUUGGCAUCAUUUCAAGAAUGUCCAAAACUAGACCAGUUUAAACAAAGUAUGUCCGGGUAGGCGGGAAUGUUCCGUGUGAGAGCACGCAGUUUCUCGACAUCCUUGAAAGGGCCCAAUUUUUUCCUGUUCUUGUAUCACCAAUUCAAGCCACUAUGCCAAGUUGUUUUGGUCUUUGAAAAGUUUUGCAUUUUCUGGAGUUUUCUUAGUGAAAAAAGCUUGAUAAAUGGCUGAACAUGACGCCACUUGCAUACGUGUCGGAAUUUGCUCAAAGCUAGCAUGGUUGCCUACUAUGGGCAUGCCCACCUGCUUGCAAAGUUGGGUUCAUUUCUAGGAAGUCCAAAAGAACACCUUGUUCAACGUAGGGUGUUCAUAUAGGCUAGAAGGCUUUGUUUGAGAGCUUGCUUUUUGGCAUCUAUCAAAUGACCCCCCAAAUUGCUUCCACUAAAUUAUAUGACCUAUUCAAGGCAUCAUGCCAAAUGUUUUUAGUUGUCAAUAAUUCUUGCAUUUUUCAAGUUAUCUCCAUGAAAAAUGGCCAAUGAAUAGUUGGACGUGUUGCAACUUGCAUACGGUGUCAGAAUAAGUUCAAGUUCGAGAAUGGCGCCGACCCGAGGCAAUUUCUCCAUGGCGAACUAGCCGUUGUGACCAAAAACUUCUCCGAGGACCAAAAACUCAGAGGAGGUGGCUUCGGGUCGGUGUACAUGAAGGAAAUAUGCCCUAGAGGCAAUAAUAAAGUUGUUAUUUAUAUUUCCUUAUAUCAUGAUAAAUGUUUAUUAUUCAUGCAUGAUAAAUGUUUAUUAUUCAUGCUAGAAUUGUAUUAACCGGAAACUUAGUACAUGUGUGAAUACAUAGACAAACAGUGUCACUAGUAUGCCUCUACUUAACUAGCUCAUUGAAUCAAAGAUUGUUAAGUUUCCUAGCCAUAGAUAUGAGUUGUCAUUUGAUUAACGGGAUCACAUCAUUAGAGAAUGAUGUGAUUGACUUGACCCAUUCCGUUAGCUUAGCACUUGAUCGUUUAGUAUAUUGCUAUUGCUUUCUUCAUGACUUAUACAUGUUCCUAUGACUAUGAGAUUAUGCAACUCCCAAAGACCGGAGGAACAUUUUGUGUGCUACCAAACGUCACAACGUAACUGGGUGAUUAUAAAGGUGCUCUACAGGUGUCUCCGAUGAUGUUUGUUGAGUUGGCAUAGAUCGAGAUUAGGAUUUGUCACUCCGAUUGUCGGAGAGGUAUCUCUGGGCCCUCUAAGUAAUGCACAUCACUAUAAGCCUUGCAAGCAAUGUAACUAAUGAGUUAGUUGGGGGAUGAUGCAUUAUGGAACGAGUAAAGAGACUUGCCGGUAACGAGAUUGAACAAGGUAUUGAGAUACCGACGAUCGAAUCUCGGGCAAGUAACAUACCGAUGACAAAGGGAACAAUGUAUGUUGUUAUACGGUUUGACCGAUAAAGAUCUUCGUAGAAUAUGUGGGAGCCAAUAUGAACAUCCAGGUUCCGCUAUUGGUUAUUGACCGGAGAUGCGUCUCGGUCAUGUCUACAUAGUUCUCGAACCCGUAGGGUCCGCAUGCUUAACGUUCGGUGACGAUCGGUAUUAUGAGUCUAUGUGUUUUGAUGUACCAAAGAUAGUUCGGAGUCCCGGAUGUGAUCACGGACAUGACGAGGAGUCUCGAAAUGGUGGAGACAUAAAGCUUGAUAUAUUGGAUGACUAUAUUCGGACACCGGAUGAGUUCCGGGGGUCACCGGAUAAUUAUCAGAGUGCCGGGGGGUUAUCGGAAACCCCGGGGGAACUAAUGAGCCAACAUGGGCCUUGUGAGAGAGAGGGGGCCUGAGGGCUAGCCGCGCCCCCCCCCUUGAGGAGUCUGAAUUGGACAAGGAGGGGGGCGGCGCCCCCUCUUUCCCUCCCUCUCUCCCUCUCCUUCCUUCCCCCUUCCUCCUCCUAGUUGGACUAGGAAAGGUGGAGUCCUACUCCUACUAGGAGGAGGACUCCUCCCCUCCCUUGGCGCGCCCCUAGGGCCGGCCGGCCUCCUCCUCCUCUCCUUUAUAUAUGGGGUAGGGGGCACCCCAUAGAGACACACAAGUUGAUCAUUGAUCUCUUAGCCGUGUGCGGUGCCCCCCUCCACCAUAAUCCACCUCGGUCAUAUCGUUGCAGUGCUUGGGCGAAGCCCUGCGCCGGUAGCUUCAUCAUCACCAUCAUCACGCCAUCGUGCUGACAAAGCUCUCCCUCGACACUCUGCUGGAUCGUGAGUUCGUGGGACCUCACCGAGCCGAACGUGUGCAGAUCGCGGUGGUGCCGUACAUUCGGUGCUAGGAUCGGUUGAUACGUCUCCAAAGAAUCUAUAAUUUUUGAUUGUUCCAUGCUAUUAUAUAUUCUGUUUUGGAUGUUUAAUGGGCUUAUUUAUACACUUUUAUAUUAUUUUUGGGACUAAUCUAUUAACCGAAGGCCCAGCCCAAAUUGCUGUUUUUUUUUUGCCUAUUUCAGUGUUUCGUAGAAAAAAAAUAUCAAACUGAGUCCAAACGGAAUGAUACCUUCAGGAACAUGAUUUUUGGAACAAACGUGAUCUAGAGGACUUGGAGUGGACGUCAAGGAACCGACGAGGAGGCCACGAGGCAGGGAGGCGCGCCCUCCACCCUCGUGGGCCGUCGUGGCUCCACCGACCUACUUCUUCCUCCUAUAUAUACCUACGUACCCCCAAACCAUCGAAGAGCACCACGAAAACCUAAUUCCACCGCCGCAACCUUCUGUACCCGUGAGAUCCCAUCUUGGGGCCUUUUCCGGCGCUCCGCCGGAGGGGGCAUUGAUCACAGAGGGAUUGACAACGCCUUUAUCGCGUUGGUUGCGAGGUUCUUAUUUGUUUGUGUAGGUGCGUGGGACUCGAGCGUAGCCUCCUACUGGAUUGAUACCUUGGUUCUCAAAAACUGAGAGAAAUACUUACGGUACUUUACUGCAUCACCCUUUCCUCUUCACGGGAAAACCAACGCAGUGCUCAAGAGGUAGUAAGAAAUAUUUCUGGCGCCGUUGCCGGGGAGUCUACUCACAAGUCAAGACAUACCAAGUACCCAUCACAAACUCUUAUCCCUCGCAUUACAUUAUUUGCCAUUUGCCUCUCGUUUUCCUCUCCCCCACUUCACCCUUGCCGUUUUAUUCGCCCUCUUUUUCCGUUCGCCUCUUUUUCGCUUGCCUCUUGUUUGCUUCUGUGUUGAAUUGCUUGCUUGUCACGAUGGCUCAAGACAAUACCAAAUUGUGUGACUUUACCAAUACCAACAACAAUGAUUUUCUUAGCACUCCGAUUGCUCCUCUUCCUGAUGCUGAAUCUUGUGAAGUUAAUGCUGCUUUGCUGAAUCUUGUCAUGAAAGAUCAAUUCGCCGGCCUUCCUAGUGAAGAUGCCGCUACCCAUCUAAAUAGCUUUGUUGAUUUGUGUGAUAUGCAAAAGAAGAAAGAUGUGGACAAUGAUAUUGUUAAAUUGAAGCUAUUUCCUUUUUCGCUUAGAGAUCGUGCUAAAACUUGGUUUUCGUCUUUGCCUAAAAAUAGUAUUGAUUCAUGGAAUAAGUGCAAAGAUGCUUUUAUCUCUAAGUAUUUUCCUCCCGCUAAGAUCAUCUCUCUUAGAAACGAUAUUAUGAAUUUUAAGCAACUUGAUCAUGAACAUGUUGCACAAGCUUGGGAAAGGAUGAAACUAAUGAUACGUAAUUGCCCUAUUCAUGGUUUGAAUUUGUGGAUGAUUAUACAAAAAUUUUAUGCCGGAUUGAAUUUUGCUUCUAGAAAUCUGUUAGAUUCGGCCGCGAGGGGCACUUUUAUGGAAAUCACUUUAGGAGAAGCUACUAAACUCCUAGAUAAUAUUAUGGUUAAUUAUUCUCAAUGGCACACUGAAAGAUCUACUAGUAAAAAUGUGCAUGCGAUAGAAGAAAUUAAUGUUUUGAGUGGAAAGAUGGAUGAACUUAUGAAAUUGUUUGCUAAUAAGAGUGUUUCUUCUGAUCCUAAUGAUAUGCCUUUGUCUACUUUGAUUGAGAAUAAUAGUGAAUCUAUGGAUUUAAAUUCUGUUGGUAGGAAUAAUUUGGGUAACAACGCGUAUAGAGGAAACUUUAAUCCUAGGCCGUUCCCUAGUAAUUCCUCUAAUAAUUAUGGUAAUUCCUACAACAACUCUUAUGGAAAUUUUAAUAAGUUGCCCUCUGAUUUUGAGACUAGUGUUAAAGAGUUUACGAAUUCGCAAAAGAAUUUCAAUGCUUUGCUUGAAGAAAAAUUGCUUAAGGUUGACGAAUUGGCUAGGAACGUGGAUAGAAUUUCUCUUGAUGUUGAUUCUUUGAAACUUAGAUCUAUUCCACCUAAGCAUGAUAUCAAUGAGUCUCUCAAAGCUAUGAGAAUUUCUAUUGAUGAGUGCAAAGAAAGAACCGCUAGGAUGCGUGCUAAGAAAGAUUGCUUUGUGAAGACAUGUUCUUCUAGUUUUUACGAGAAUAAAGAUGAAGAUCCAAAAGUUAUUGAUGUGUCUCCUAUUAAAUCUUUGUUUUGCAAUAUGAAUCUUGAUAAUGACGGGACUGGAGAUGAGUCAACUUUAGUUAGAAGGCAUCCCAAAAAUUCGGAGUUUUUAGAUCUUGAUGCGAAAAUUGAUAAAAGUGGGAGUGAAGAGGUUCAAAUUUUACAUAGCAAUGAUCCCACUAUCUUGGAUUUCAAGGAAUUUAAUUAUGAUAAUUGCUCUUUGAUAGAUUGUAUUUCCUUGUUGCAAUCCGUACUAUAUUCUCCUCAUGCUUAUAGUCAAAAUAAAGCUUUUACUAAACAUAUCGUUGAUGCUUUGAUGCAAUCUUAUGAAGAAAAGCUUGAAUUGGAAGUUUCUAUCCCUAGAAAACUUUAUGAUGAGCGGGAACCUACUGUUAAAAUUAAAAUUAAAGAUCAUGAAUGCUAUGCUUUGUGUGAUUUGGGUGCUAGUGUUUCCACGAUUCCAAAAACUUUGUGUGAUUUGUUAGGUUUCCGUGAAUUUGAUGAUUGUUCUUUAAACUUGCACCUUGCGGAUUCCACCAUUAAAAAACCUAUGGGAAGAAUUAAUGAUGUUCUUAUUGUUGCAAAUAGGAACUAUGUGCCCGUAGAUUUCAUUGUUCUUGAUAUAGAUUGCAAUCCUUCAUGUCCUAUUAUUCUUGGUAGACCUUUCCUUAGAACGAUUGGUGCAAUUAUUGAUAUGAAGGAAGGGAAUAUUAGAUUCCAAUUUCUGCUAAGGAAAGGCAUGGAACACUUCACUAGAAAGAAAGUUAAAUUACCAUAUGAAUCUAUUAUGAGAACCACUUAUGGAUUGCCUACCAAAGAUGGCAAUACCUAGAUCUAUCCUUGUUUUUAUACCUAGCUAGGGGCGUUAAACGAUAGCGCUUGUUGGGAGGCAACCCAAUUUUAUUUUAUUUUUUUGCUUUUUGGUUCUGUUUACGAAUAAAUAGUCCAUCUAGCCUCUGGUUAGAUUUUUGUGUGUGUUUUAAUUAGUGUUUGUGCCAAGUUAAACGUAUAGGAUCUUCUUGGAUGAUAGUUAUUUGAUCUUGCUAAAAAUUCCAGAAACUUUCUGUUCACGAAAACAAUUGUUAAAAAUCACCAGAACGUGAUAAAAUACUGAUUCCAAUUGCAGUACAUCAAUAAACAAAUUAUCUAGGUGUUCCUACUUUUGUAGAUUUUUCUGAGUUCCAGAAGUUUGCGUUAGUUACAGAUUACUAAAGACUGUUCUGUUUUUGACAGAUUCUGUUUUUCGCGUGUUGUUUGCUUAUUUUGAUGAAUCUAUGGCUAGUAAAAGAGCUUAUAAACCAUAGAGAAGUUGGAAUAAAGUAGGUUUAACACCAAUAUAAAUAAAUAAAGAGUUCAUUACAGUACCUUGAAGUGGUGUUUUGUUUUCUUUCGCUAACGGAGCUCACUAGAUUUUCUGUUCAGUUUUGUGUUGUGAAGUUUUCAAGUUUUGGGUAAAGAUUUGAUGGAUUAUGGAACAAGGAUUGGCAAGAGCCUAAUCUUGGUGAUGCCCAAGGAACCCCAAGGUAAAAUCCAAGGACAACCAAAAGCCUAAGCUUGGGGAUGCCCCGGAAGGCAUCCCCUCUUUCCUCUUCGUCUAUCGGUAACUUUACUUGGGGCUAUAUUUUUAUUCAUCACAUGAUAUGUGUUUUGCUUGGAGCAUCUUGUAUGAUUUGAGUCUUUGCUUUUUAGUUUACCACAAUCAUCCUUCCUGUACACACCUUUUGAGAGAGACACACAUGAUUCGGAAUUUGUUAGAAUACUCUAUGUGCUUCACUUAUAUCUUUUGAGCUAUAUAGUUUUUGCUCUAGUGCUUCACUUAUAUCUUUUAGAGCACGGUGGUGGUUUUGUUUUAUUGAAAUUAUUGAUCUCCCAUGCUUAACUUAUAUUAUUUUGAGAGUCCUACAAAACAGCAUGGUAAUUUGCUUAAAUUGUGAAAUUAGUCCUAAUAUGAUAGGCAUCCAAGAUUAGUAAAAACUUUCUUAUAAGUGCAUUGAAUACUAAGAGAAGUUUGAUGCUUGAUAAUUGUUUUGACAUAUGAAGAUGAUGAUAUUAGAGUCGUCGUGCUAGUUGGGUAGUUGUGAAUUUGAGAAAUACUUGUGUUAAAGUUUGUGAUUCCCGUAGCAUGCAUGUAUGGUGAACCAUUAUGCGAUGAAGUCGGAGCAUGAUUUAUCUAUUGAUUGUCUUCCUUACGAGUGGCAAUCAGGGACGAGCGAUGGUCUUUUCCUACCAAUCUAUCCCCCUAGGAGCAUGCGCGUAAUACUUCGUUUCGAUAACUAAUAGAUUUUUGCAACAAGUAUGUGAGUUCUUUAUGACUAAUGUUGAGUGCAUGGAUUAUACGGACUCUCACCCUUCCACCAUUGCUAGCCUCUCUAAUACCGCACACUUUUCGCCGGUAUCAUACACCCACCAUUACCUUCCUCAAAACAGCCACCAAAGCUACCUAUUAUGGCAUUUCCAUAGCCAUUCCGAGAUAUAUUGCCAUGCAACUUACCACCGUUCCGUUUACUAUGACACGCUCCAUCAUUGUCAUAUUGCUUUGCAUGAUCAUGUAGUUGACAUCGUAUUUGUGGCAUAGCCACCUUCAUAAUUCUUUCAUACAUGUCACUCUUGAUUCAUUUCAUAUCCCGGUACUCCAACUACAACAGGAACCCCCCUACAGCAACGCAUCGAUGCAUUGUUGUAUGCCCGUAUAAGUGUUGCAAUGGUCUACACCAACGGAUUAAUAUGCAUUUCCAUUGGUGGCGUUGCAAGGGACUACAACAACAUAUAUGCAUCCGUUGGUAAACAACGUCUAGAAACGUUGCUACCUAGCAACGUAUAGGGUUAGAGUCUAACAACACUACAUAUGCGUUGUUGGUCACCGUGCACAAAGGCUUUUCAAAUGGAUAUCCAACCCAAUCCAGCCCAAUAUGGAUUGGGCUUUUCAAAUGGGCAUAUAUAUAAUAUUGCCAUCUAGCCCAAUAUGGGUUGAUCGGUCAACAUUUCUAUUUUCUGUUGGAAAAAAUCUCUACAAUUAUUUGCUGGCUCAAUUCCAUAGAGGCUACUUUUUUCAUUGACCAAGUCAAUUACCCAACACAGGGUAUUUUCACAUCACAUGACAAAUAAUUACUCUAUAACUAUCAAUGCCAAUUCCACAUCACGUUUCAUAGUUCACAUUCCCCAUUAGCCAAAAUAACACAAGCUAUAUACACUAGUAGAAAAAGGGCCAUUUGUCCCGGUUCAUAAGGCCCAUCUGUCCCGGUUGGGGAACCGGGACUAAAGGGUCGUUACUAAUGCCCUUGGCCUUUAGUCCGGUUCUUAUACUAACCGGGACAGAUGGGCCUCCACGUGGCCGCUACGGCGAGCCCAGGCACGAGGGCCUUUGGUCCUGGUUGGUAGCACCAACCGGGACCAAUAAGCUUCCACGCGUCAGCAUUUCAGGGGCUGGUUUUUUUGAAAGGAGGUGGUUUAGGGGUUUUGGGGGUUAACUUAGGUUGGUAUGGGUAGCUAAUAGAGAGAUGUGUCCUCUCUUAUCUCCGUGCUACUGCUACUGCUAUGCCGAAACAUGACUUAGAUUGAAGUGAGGCAACAUGUGGUGCAUGUCGAAAGUAAUACUAAUCCUAACUUGAUCAAGUUUGGAUUGUACUACUUUCGACAUGCACCACAUGCAUGUUGCCUUCACUUCAAUCCAAUCCAUGUUCAUUUCACCCACAGAUAUAUAAUAAUUAACUAUGUUUGAGAAACUCACAUAGCGGUAGAAAUGGAGGCGUAUCAACAAGGACCCAAAUGUCCAUAUUGUCUUGGUCGAUGUCAGGAUCACCAAGAUCAAUGGUGAUAAGCAUACCCUCAUGAAAACCAUACAUCUUGCAAAGUGCUUCCCAAUUUUUGCAACCAAAAUGGGUUACGCUCUCAGAAUUAUACAGAUUUACUUCAAAAUCCACAUCAUGAUGAGUUCUUAGGUGAAUUUUCUUUGUUUCAUAAUUUUCAUGGUCUUCAAAAUCCAUCCUCUAUAGGACAUAGCGUCUUGCAUGGCAUGGGAUAAGCUACUCGAAUUGUAAAAGAUGAAAAUUACAAGUUGAAAUAGUUGAAGUCAUGCUUAAUUACGAGAAAAAACACUUGUCGUCGUUGCGUACCGUUUCAACUUCGAAGGUCUCCUCGAGCUUAAUGCUGAAGCACCGAUCAUCGUCCAGGUGAGGCAUGUCGCACAGACCUCGAUCGUCGUGGCACCAGCUGCACUCCCCCGAGAGACUUUCGUCGUCCGAUGACGACAUUUCCUACGUUCAUAAUUCAAAUAUUAAACUUGUACAAUUAAAUAUAUGUACUACAAAGACUAAAUUAGAUCAUUAUUAUUCAUCACGGGUUGACUAUCGGUCUGUCGAGUCUUUUCUUGAAAACUCUCAGCUCAUGUGGUGUAUACAUUCGACCGUUGGUGAUGGUCGCUCCUCCAUUCUUCCCCGAGUGCAUUACACCAAAAUGUCUAGCACACGGUAACGAAGGAGAAGCGACCCCCACGACAACAGUCGGGAUUCUUCGUCCUCUCAUAUAUAUAUGGUGGAACUCUCCCUCACUGAUUCCUCUCUGACAUUUGUGACCGUCGGUGAUGGUAGCUCCUCCUUUCGUUCCUGAGUGCAUUACACCAAAUUGUCUAGCACACGGGAACGAUGGAGAAGCUACCCCACGACAACAGCCGGGAUUCUUCGUCCUCUCAUAUAUGGUGGAGACUCGACAGACUUAAAGUGAACCCGAAAUAUCGUUUAAUUAUCUUUCUAAAAAAGGAUUUGGCUGGUCUCACCUCGAGGUCGGAGGGGGUCGGUGACAGGGACGACGGCGGGGAUGAUGGAGGGGGGCUCCUAGAUUUCCGCGACAACAAAAACCCUAUAAGCUAUCAACUAAUCAUAUGCAUACGCCUUGCAUAGUGCUCUCCAAUUUUAGCAUUCAAAGUAGGAGUAGUUUUCCAAUUUGAGUAUUCAAUAAGCAAAACCAAAUCAUAAAAUUAAGUAGUAUUCAAAUUAGCAUGCAUUCAAUUAUAAGCAAAACUACAUCAUCUCUUGCGUCCGUACAUCGUCGAAUAUUAUCACUAAUACACCUCGAAUACUAUCAUACAUAUAGCAUCGCUAGUACAGCUAGAACCGUAGCGCCCGACGGGUAUCGGCGCGGGCGGUGGACACCCAAAGGGAAGGAACCAUCACAUGAUCAUAGCUCCAGUAAGAUCCCUGAAGAACCUGCCAGGUAUUGUCGAACCUGCCCUCCAACGCAACCAUGUAGCGACGGACAUGUUCGUCCUCCUCGCUGACACGGUGACGUACCACCUCCGCGGUGUCCGGAAGCCUAGGCACCGUCACUGGCCCACGCGACCGCCACCAAACUAGGAUCGGGUCAACGAUGGGCUGGCUCCUCACAAACCUACGCCCCCCGGAAGGAAGCACCUCCCAAUACCAGCCCGGCGGAGCCCAGUCCCGGACAUGGCCCCUCUGAUCAAGCCGGCCUCCUCCGCCGAGUCGACGACGAGGAUGUGGGAUAGGCAUCGUCGAUGUCGAUGAGGGAAUAAUUGCUUGAACUAAAAAAAAUAAACUAGUUCUAUUAAUUUUCUUGCUAAAAAUAAACUACUUCAAUAUAUAGUAAAAUAAAGUAGUUUUAUUAAAUCAACUAGUUCAACUACUAAGCACUUACUAUAAAUAAAAUAAAGUAGUACUUACUAAAAAUAAACAACUUCUAUAUAUAGUAAAAUAAAGUAGUUUUAUUAAAUCAACUAGUUCAACUACUAAGCACUUAAUUUUACUUUUUCCUCUACACUAACCUAAAAUGCACUAACCUAAAAUCGAUAUCUACUAACAAUAACCUAAUAAAAAAUUAAUACAUAUAUGAAAAAAAUAUAAACAAAAAAUGCUAUGAACAUUAUAUUCAUACAUACAUAGCCACGUCCAUUCAUCAUAUAGCUACCACAUACAUAUAUACAUUAUAUAUAUGAAAAAAAUGUAAUGAACAAAAAAAUAAUACACAGUAUAUGAAAAAAAGCACUGAAAAACAGAGCUGUGGCGGCGGCAGCUCACAUCGGGGGCGGCCGGCGAGGGCGACGGCGGGGGCGGCGAUGGUGUCGNNNNNNNNNNNNNNNNNNNNNNNNNNNNNNNNNNNNNNNNNNNNNNNNNNNNNNNNNNNNNNNNNNNNNNNNNNNNNNNNNNNNNNNNNNNNNNNNNNNNNNNNNNNNNNNNNNNNNNNNNNNNNNNNNNNNNNNNNNNNNNNNNNNNNNNNNNNNNNNNNNNNNNNNNNNNNNNNNNNNNNNNNNNNNNNNNNNNNNNNNNNNNNNNNNNNNNNNNNNNNNNNNNNNNNNNNNNNNNNNNNNNNNNNNNNNNNNNNNNNNNNNNNNNNNNNNNNNNNNNNNNNNNNNNNNNNNNNNNNNNNNNNNNNNNNNNNNNNNNNNNNNNNNNNNNNNNNNNNNNNNNNNNNNNNNNNNNNNNNNNNNNNNNNNNNNNNNNNNNNNNNNNNNNNNNNNNNNNNNNNNNNNNNNNNNNNNNNNNNNNNNNNNNNNNNNNNNNNNNNNNNNNNNNNNNNNNNNNNNNNNNNNNNNNNNNNNNNNNNNNNNNNNNNNNNNNNNNNNNNNNNNNNNNNNNNNNNNNNNNNNNNNNNNNNNNNNNCUCGGGGGCGGCGGAGGGCGACGGCGUGGGCUCGGGGGCGGAGGACGGCGUCGACGUGGGCUCGGGGGCACGGGCGACGGCGACGGGGCAGCCUGGCGGCGUCGAGGAGGUCGGCGUCGUCGGGCGGCAACUAGCGAUGGAAUGUGAAAAAAUGCUAAGUGCUGGCUUAUAUAGGAAAGGCUUUAGUCCCGGUUCGUGGCAACAACCGGGACCAAAGCCCCCCUUUAGUCCUGGUUUGUGCCACCAACCGGGACCAAAGGCCUCUUUUCAGCAGCCCAAAGGGCGGGAAGCAGAGGCCUUUGGUCCCGGUUGGAGGCACCAACCGGGACUAAAGGGGGGCUUUGGUACCGGUUCGUGGCGCCAACCCGGACCAAUGCCCCACUUUAGUCGCGGUUGCUGCUACCAACCGGGACCAAAGGCCUGCGCCUGCCAAAGCCGCGGUGCGGUGGGAUGUUUAGUCCCACCUCGCUAGCCGAGGAGCGGCAGGACCUGUUUAUAAGCCCUACCCUGCCAUCUCCAUUGAACUCAUCUGAAUUACAGGCCUCUGGGCCUAAUCUCGCACUGCUAUGCCUGUGGGCCUGCUGGGCCUUCUGCGGGCCUGAAUCCUGGACCAUGGAUGGGUUUCUAGUCGUAUUCAGGCCAUGUGGCCCAGUAGGUGGCUUUUUUUAUUUUUUCCUAGUUUAUUUCUUUUAUUUUUUUCUUUAUUUAUUUUAUUUUGUUUCUACUUACAACAAAAUACUUAUUUAUUUUAUUUUAUUUUAUUUCUAAUUACUUAUUUAUUUUAUUUUAUGAUAAUUCUUUUUGCUAUUAAAGUUUCUAACAAAAAAAGUUCUUUAUGGNNNNNNNNNNNNNNNNNNNNNNNNNNNNNNNNNNNNNNNNNNNNNNNNNNNNNNNNNNNNNNNNNNNNNNNNNNNNNNNNNNNNNNNNNNNNNNNNNNNNNNNNNNNNNNNNNNNNNNNNNNNNNNNNNNNNNNNNNNNNNNNNNNNNNNNNNNNNNNNNNNNNNNNNNNNNNNNNNNNNNNNNNNNNNNNNNNNNNNNNNNNNNNNNNNNNNNNNNNNNNNNNNNNNNNNNNNNNNNNNNNNNNNNNNNNNNNNNNNNNNNNNNNNNNNNNNNNNNNNNNNNNNNNNNNNNNNNNNNNNNNNNNNNNNNNNNNNNNNNNNNNNNNNNNNNNNNNNNNNNNNNNNNNNNNNNNNNNNNCUAUAAUACUAGAGGUUGCUUAUAAUGUUUUGAAUAGAAAAUACAUUGAUAAUUUUAGUUUCAUAAAUUUUAUUUAUGUUAUUAAAGUUUAUUUUAUUUUAUUUUAUUUUGUUUCUACUUAUAUAUUUUAUUAAAAUUUAUUUUAUUCUGUUUCUAAUUACUUAUUUAUUUUAUUUUAUGAUAUUUGUUAUUUUCUAUGCAUUUACUGAUUAUUUUGAGCUAUAAGACCCUGAAAUUGAAAAGCAGUACAAAUGAACUCUGGAAAGGUUGAAAGUUGGUAUGGUAUCAUCAUUUCAUCCACAUAGCAUGUGCAAGAAAGUAAAGAGGGUUACGGCAAAAAUUGGAUGCACUUCGUGUACAAAACGGACAAUCUCUUUCGAAGUAUCAGGGUUUCAUACGGAAACUCGUCUGUUACAAAGGGAUUUCAUUUUUUAGAACUUAUUUGAACUCCAUAGUUUUUCUGUGUUCAACAUGCACCAUUCAAAGCCACAUCAUCAAUUUUCAACCCUUUCUGACUUCAUUUGUUAUUUUCCAUGCAUUUACUGAUUAUUUUGAGCUAUAAGACCAUGAAAUUGAAAAGCACUACAAAUGAACUCUGAAAAGGUUGAAAGUUGGCAUGGUAUCAUCAUUUCACCCACAUAGCAUGUGCAAGAAAGUAGAGAGGGUUACGGCAAAAAAUGGACGCACUUCGUGUACAAAACGGACGAUCUGAUUCGAAGUAUCAGGAAUUCAUACGGAAACUCGUCUGUUACAACAGGAAUUUCAAAUGAACUAUGAAAAGGUUGAAAGUUGGCAUGGUAUCAUCAUAAUAGUUGUGAGAGAAAGUCUUCACUUUUUUUCGAUUGUGUGCUUUGCUUAUUGCGCCGUAACCAUGGAUAAUCUUCAUCGUUUAUCAGGAUGCUUGGGUCAGCCUUGACUUUGAAGGGAGGAAUUUCAUGAAACUUUUCAUAAUCUUCAGACAUGUCUGUCUUGCCCUCCACUCCCACGAUGUCCCUUUUUCCUGAAAGAACUAUGUGGCGCUUUGGCUCAUCGUAUGAUGUAUUCGCUUCCUUAUCUUUUCUUUUUCUCGGUUUGGUAGACAUGUCCUUCACAUAGAUAACCUGUGCCACAUCAUUGGCUAGGACGAACGGUUCGUCAGUGUACCCAAGAUUGUUCAGAUCCAUUGUUGUCAUUCCGUACUGUGGGUCUACCUGUACCCCGCCUCCUGACAGAUUGACCCAUUUGCACUGAAACAAAGGGACCUUAAAAUCAUGUUUGUAGUCAAGUUCCCAUAUGUCCACUAUGUAACCAUAAUAUGUGUCCUUUCCCCUCUCGGUUGCUGCAUCAAAGCGGACACCGUUGUUUUGGUUGGUGCUCUUUUGAUCUUGGACGAUCGUGUAAAAUGUAUUCCCAUUUAUCUCGUAUCCUUUGUAAGUCCAUACAGUCGAAGAUGGUCCCCUGGACAACGAGUACAGCUCAUCACAAACAGUGUUGUCACCUAUGAGACGUGUUUCCGACCAACUGCUGAAAGUCCUGAUGUGUUCACAUGUAAUCCAGUCGUCACACUGCUCCGGGUGUUUGGAGCGCAGACUGUUCUUGUGUUCACCGACAUACGGGGUCACCAAGGUAGAGUUCUGUAGAACUGUGUAGUGUGCUUGAGACCAAGAAUGCCCGUCCCUGCAUAUUAUCGAGUCCGCUCCUAGCAUGCCUUUUCCAGUCAGUCUCCCAUCAUACCGCGAUUUAGGGAGACCUAUCUUCUAAAGGCCAGGAAUGCACUACGGGAAACAGUUAAUUUGCCAUCUGGCGAGUACAGACGGCAAAGAGCGAAAUACAGACGGCAAAGAGUUUGCCGUCAGCCGGCUGACGGCAAACAUAGACGGCGAAGAGGGUCGCGGCAAAGGCUGCUUUGCCGUCAGCUUUUCAUCGGGCAGACGGCAAAGAAUUUGCCGACAACCAACUACAGAUUUGCCGUCUGCCGCAAAAAUAACAGAUGGCAAAGUAUGCACUCUUUGCCGUGAGGCAAAACGUCUUCUUGCCAUCAUCCGGACCAAAAUACAGACGGCGAAGAUUGUAUUUUAUUAAAAAAAAAUACGCCAGUCAAAUCGUUCACAGGGUGGCUGCUGCUUCCGUGGUCACCGGAGUUGCCAACUCCGGCAACUUCUGCCACUACUGGAGGAGCUCUGGCGCUUGGGGCAGAGAUGAGGAGGCUGGGGAGUCUCCGGCGCGGCGUGGUCUGGCGAGGGGCGGCCACGGCAGCGUCCGGUCUCCGGUGAGGUCUGGUGAGGGACGGCCGCGGCGGGGUCCGAUGAGUGACAGCUGCGGUGUGGUCCGGCGAGGGGCGGCCGUGGUGGAGUCCGGUGAGGGAUGGCCGUGGCUGGGUCCGGCGAGGGGCGGCCGUGGCGGGGUCCGGUGAGGGAUGGCCGUGGCUGGGUCCGGCGAGGGGCGGAAAGAAAGAGGGUGGGGAGUCUCGAGCGCAGCGGGCUCCGGCGUGGGGCAGCCGCAGAGUAGUUUGGCGAGGGUCAGCCACAUGCGUACNNNNNNNNNNNNNNNNNNNNNNNNNNNNNNNNNNNNNNNNNNNNNNNNNNNNNNNNNNNNNNNNNNNNNNNNNNNNNNNNNNNNNNNNNNNNNNNNNNNNNNNNNNNNNNNNNNNNNNNNNNNNNNNNNNNNNNNNNNNNGCGGCGGCGGUUGACCUGCCGCACUGGUCGCCUGGCCGGCGCGUGAUGCCCGCCGGCGCUGGUGCCCGCCUGGACGAGGGGAGUCCGGGGAGGAGGUGAGAGCUCGGGCGGCGCAGAGGCAUGCGUGCGGGAGGGGGUGCGCGAGAGGCAGCAGACCGCGCCAGAGGCGGGCGACGGCGAUGCGCCGGCCGGAGGGAGCACGGGCGGGGGCCUCUCGGGGGGAGCACGGGCGCGGGCCACUCGGUGGGAUUUGUGGCCGUCGUGGGUGAGAGGACGGGCGAGCUGGGUGGGGCCAUCCGGUUGUGUCUGUGGGUGGACAGAGAAAGAGAACGUGGGGAGAGAGAGAGGACGUGGGGGCGUGCAAGAGAUGCGGGAUACAGCGAGUGGUAAGGAUCAUGCCACCUCAUCGAUCCAUGAGAUCGAUCCGCGAGGUGUGUUUCUUCUUUGCCAUCUGUGUUUUCUAUUACAGACGGCAAAGAGCAUAUUUUGCUGUCUAUAAUAUCUUUGCCGUCUGUGUUUUAUAUUAUAGAUGGCAAAACAUGCUCUUUGCCGUCUGUAACAAAAAAGCAGACGGCAAAGAUCUUUGCCGUCUGUGUUUUAUAUUAUGCAGUCAUUAGGGCAUUCAUGUAUCUUCUCCACCUCCAAUCCUAGAGGGCAUACGACCUUCUUUGCUGCGUACGUACUAUCGGGCAAUUCGUUAUCCUUUGGAAGCUUCUUCUUCAAUAUUUUCAGUAGCUUCUCAAAUCCUUUGUCAGGCACAGCAUUCUCUACCUUCCACUGCAGCAAUUCCAGUACGGUACCGAGCUUUGUGUUGCCAUCUUCGCAAUUGGGGUACAACCCUUUUUUGUGAUCCUCUAACAUGCGAUCGAACUUCAGCUUCUCCUUUUCACUUUCGCACUUUUCCCUUGCAUCAACAAUGACCCGGCGGAGAUCAUCAUCGGGCACAUCGUCUGGUUCCACAUGAUCUUCAGCUUCCUCUUGAUAUUCAGCUUCCCCCAUUGCAGCAUCACCAUAUUCAGGGGGCACAUAGUUGUCAUCAUCCUUUUCUUCUUCGCUGUCUUCCAUCAUAACCCCUAUUUCUCCAUGCUUCGUCCAAACAUUAUAGUGUGGCAUGAAACCCUUAUAAAGCAGGUGGGUGUGAGGGAUUUUCUUGUCAGAGUAAGACCUCGUAUUCCCACAAUCAGGGCAUGGACAACACAUAAAACCACUCUGCUUGUUUGCCUCAGCCACUUCGAGAAAUUUAUGCACGCCCUUAAUGUACUCGGAGGUGUGUCUGUCACCGUACAUCCAUUGCCGGUUCAUCUGUGUGCAUUAUAUAUAAUUAUGUGUGUCAAAAGUAAGAAAAUUAGACAAGUAUCUAUCUAAAGUAAGAUUUUUUUUCUUUCAGAAAGAAGAUAAGAACAAGAGGCUCACAACAGUGGUGCCGGCGACGAGAUCGGCGCGGGCGAUCGACGGCGGUGAAGACAAGGACGGGGCGUGACAGACCGCUAAACCUAGACAAAUCUCGGAAAAAAUGGAGCUCGGAGGUCGAGCUUUGAGUGGAGAAAGCUUAACUAGUGUGGCUCGGGCAUUUCAUCGAACACCUCACAAGCAUAAGAGGUGAGCUAGAGCACGCAAAUGCCCUUCCUCGCCGGCCAGCAAAAAACAGAGCACUGUGGAGUGCUCUGCUCACCGGCGAUGGGGUAUAUAUAGGCAACUCAUUUGUCCCGGUUCGUGGGUGGAACCGGGACUAAAGGCCAUCCUUCUGUCCCAGUUCCUGCCACAAACCGGGACCAAUGGUUAUGGGCCAGGAGCGAGGUCCAUUGGUCCCGGUUCGUGCCAAGAACCGGGACAAAUGGGCCCAGACGAACCGUGACCAAUGCCCACGAGGCCCCGGCCGGCCCCCUGGGCUCACGAACCGGGACAAAUGCCUCCAUUGGUCCCGGUUCGUGGCAGAACCGGGACUAAUGGGCUGGCCAGGCCCGAACGAAAGCCCCUUUUUCUACUAGUGAUAUCAACCUGAUACAACAUGUAGCAUCAACAGACACUAAGAAAUAUAUUAACAAAUGAGUGUUCUCUUAACUCUCAAACACAAUUGUAUAGCUCUCCUCUUCAAAGUUACAUUUGCUGGAGGCCCUUUCUCAUGGCAUCUUGAAGGCAGCUAGGAUUGCUUUGGUCUUUAUUUGUCCAUCCCAACUUCUUGAAAGAUGAGUUGCAUAUCAUCCCAUCAAAAGAAUAGGGCUAGAAUCUGCAACAAAGAUGUAAACAUAUCAGUAAGCAUGAGUUACAAAAAUAUAUCUACCAUUGCAAAAAAAAUCUGAGUUUGGAAUUAACCAUGUUCUCAUUACUGUAGCUUAUAUAAAUAUUACCUAACAAAAUACUACUUUUCAUAAUGUUCAUGAUGACAUUUUACAUAUGCUGAUAAGAGAACCAUAUCCAAAUGAAAAUGAUAAAUAAAGUUAGUGGCUCGAGAUAUCACUUUAUCAGCUAAUCAGAACAAAAGAAGCCAUGAUCUUCCUCACACAAACCACCAAGAUCAUUACCAUCAGGGAUCUGCUUGUCAAAUCAGGCACCAAAUUUCCAAAGCAAGCAUCACUAUGCCUCGAUAACCAUAGCUUGCCCCCCCUCUCCCCCCAAAGAUCAACCAAAAGAUUUAUCAACAUGUGUAUGUUAAGAAUAUGGUCAUCAUGACAGAAAGGCAGUCUAUGUUUUGUCUGAACUCUAAUACACACAUAUAUAGUAAAGACAACAAAUUCAUUAUUGUUGCAAAUGAGGUGAUCAUUGUUGAUUGAGUUCUAUAAUGAAUUCUGCCAUCGUCGUAGUUUUCGCUGUAAUUGACUCUUCCCCUGUCCUUGCACACUCAAUAUUGUGUGAUUUAUUAUGUCAUCUUGUCACAAGGUUUUUUUUUG